rnacentral:rRNA from 1 species
AUUGAACGCUGGCGGCAGGCCUAACACAUGCAAGUCGAACGAGUGGCGGACGGGUGAGUAAUGUCUGGGAAACUGCCUGAUGGAGGGGGAUAACUACUGGAAACGGUAGCUAAUACCGCAUACCAUCAGAUGUGCCCAGAUGGGAUUAGCUUGUUGGUGGGGUAACGGCUCACCAAGGCGACGAUCCCUAGCUGGUCUGAGAGGAUGACCAGACACACCUUAACGGAGACACGCUCUAGACUCGUACGUGAUGCAGCAGUGGGGUAUAUUGCUCAAUGUGCGCAAGCCUUAUGCAGCAAUGCCGCGUGUAUGAAGAAGGCCUUCGGUGUUUAAAGGACUUUCAGCUGGGACGCUUUAUCCUCAUAAGAAGCACCGGCUAACUCCGUUCCAGCAGCCUCGGUACUAC